rnacentral:lncRNA from 1 species
CGCCACCCUACCGACACACAGCCUCCUGCCUCACAUAUCAGGUCACAGGACUACGUUCACAAGUGUCGUAACUCUAGCUGAAAACAAGAAGGUGAGUGGAUAUCCAAGUGUACCCCGAACACCAUUACUGUGUUUCCCUGCUGGCAUCAUUUCAUUUUCUUUUGAGUAUCUACAGUCAUGUUCCCCAGGCAGCACCAUAUGGAGCAGAGUGGGGCAUAUAGAGAAAAGAGGGAUGGAUGGCAUUUUUCCCUUGAGC